GGUUUCUUGAUAAUAUAGGAGAUUUAACCUGCCCACUGAUAAAAUUAAAGGGCCGCGGUAUUUUGACUGUGCAAAGGUAGCAUAAUCAUUAGUCUUUUAAUUGAAGACUCGUAUGAAUGGUUGGACGAACUAAAAACUGUUUUAUGGGGAUUGAKUUGAAGUUGAAAUUUAAGUAAAAAGACUUAAAUGUUUUUAAGGGACGAGAAGACCCUAUAGAUUUAAUAAAUAAAUAAGAUAAYAGGUUAAUAAAAAGUUAAUAGUUAKUAUUUUAUAAUAUUUAUUUAAUUGGGGUGAUUAGAAGAUAAAUUAAACUCUUUAUUGUUUUAAAUUUAAAUUAGUAGAAAAAAGGAUCCAUUAAGAAUUAAUGAUUAAAAGAUUAAAUUACCUUAGGGAUAACAGCAUAAUUUUUUUUAAGAGUUCUUAUCAAAAAGAAAGAUUAUGACCUCGAUGUUGGAUUAAGAUAAAAUUUGGGUGUAGAUGUUCAAAUAUAAUUUAGGUCUGUUCGACCUUUAAAAUCUUACA
rnacentral:rRNA from 1 species